GGCGCACUAUAGAGAGACCGCUGGUGUGAAACCAGAGGAAGGCGAGGGCAACGACAGGUCAGUAUGCCCCGAAUGUCUUGGGCUACACGCGCGCUACAAAGGACAGGACAAUGGGAUGCUAGGCCGAGAGGCAUUCACGCUAACCCGAAACCUGUUCAUAGUUCGGAUUGAGGGCUGUAACUCGCCCUCAUGAAGCUGGAUUCCGUAGUAAUCGUGUUUCAAUAUAGCACGGUGAAUAUGCCCCUGCUCCUUGCACACACCGCCCGUCAAACCAUCUUAGUUGGGGGUGGGUGAGGCUGCGCUUUAUGGCGUAUUCGAGCCUGCCUUCGACAAGGAGGGUUAAGUCGUAACAAGGUAUCUGUAGGGGAACCUGCAGAUGGAUCACCUCCUAAGAAA
rnacentral:rRNA from 1 species